rnacentral:lncRNA from 1 species
GGUGGUCCUAAACAGCAGCCAGCGCUGUGUUCCCUCCAUCCCCCGUCCCGGGUCCCACCCCUCUCUUCCUCUCUGCUGUCAACCGGACGUACCACCACCACUAAGAUGUGUUCCCCAGUCACACACACAGUCACAGACAGACUGGCUGAGGAGUGGAGGGAUCAGAGGCACUGGUUGGACCAGGACUGCUUGGUUUGACUCAUUUAGACUUGAUUUGGAGAGACUGGAAUACACACUGAGUGUAGCUUAGUGCGACUUAGGGACUCCGGAACACUCACCCACGAAGCUGCAUACACACACACUCUCUCCCUCACACACUCUGUCAUGUCUCUGGCGGAGUUUGUGCGUCAGGGACAGCUGCAGGAGGCUUCAUCACAUCUGUUGUCCAGACUGGGUCAGGUGCUACACAGCCUGUCUGUCAUUGUCCUGGCCCACAGAGCUACAGACAACCUCAGCUACAGACGCAAGAGCACCUACUGGGAUCGCCGGGACACAGAAAGCUACCGUCAGUUUGAAAUGGCUCCUACAGGAAUCUCCCUGCAGCUACUUGGGUGGUUUAAUGAAGUGCAGUACUUGCCCUCGAGAGUUCAUUGCCUCACAUGACCCUAAUAUCUAGCUGAUGAAGAUGGUGCCGAAGGAGAUUUUAUUUCUAUUUCACCUUCAUUUAACCAGGUAAGCUAGUUGAGAACAAGUUCUCACUUACAACUGCGACCUGGCCAAGAUAAAGCAAAGCAGUGCGACACAAACAAUAACACAGAGUUACAUAUGGAAUAAACAAGCAUACAGUCAAUAACACAAUAGAAAAGAAUUGUCUAUAUACAGUGUGUGCAAAUGGCAUGAGGUGGUAAGGCAAUGAAUAGGCCAUAGGAGUGAAUAAUUACAAUUUAGCAAAUUAACACUGGAGUGAUAGAUGUGCAGAUGAUGAUGUGCAAGUAGAAAUACUGGUGUGCAAAAGAGCAGAAAAGUAAAUAAAACAAUAUGGGGAUGAGGUAGGUAGAUUGGAUGGGCUAUUUACAGAUGGGCUAUGUACAGCUGCAGCGAUCGGGUUAGCUGCUCAGAUAGCUGAUGUUUAAAGUUAGUGAGGGAAAUAUAAGUCUCCAGCUUCAAUUUUUGCAAUUCGUUCCAGUCAUUGGCAGCAGAGAACUGGUAGGAAAGGCGCCAAAGGAGGUGUUGGCUUUGGGGAUGACCAGUGAGAUAUACCUGCUGGAGCAUGUAAUACGGGUGGGUUUUGUUAUCGUGACCAGUGAGCUGAGAUAAGGUGGAGCUUUACCUAGCAUAGACUUAUAGAUGACCUGGAGCCAGUGGGUCUGGCGACGAAUAUGUAGCGAGGGCCAGCCGACUAGAGCAUACAGGUCACAGUGGUGGGUGGUAUAUGGGGCUUUGGUGACAAAACGGAUGGCACUGUGAUAGACUGCAUCCAGUUUGCUGAGUAGAGUGUUGGAGGCUAUUUUGUAA